rnacentral:rRNA from 1 species
UACAGAGGUCUCAACCGUUGUUCGGAUUCAUUGGGCGUAAAGGGUGUGUAGGUGGCGCGCUAAGUCGGGUGUGAAAUUUCGGAGCUUAACUCCGAAACUGCAUUCGAUACUGGCGUGCUUGAGGACUGGAGAGGAGACUGGAAUUCAUGGUGUAGCAGUGAAAUGCGUAGAGAUCAUGAGGAAGACCAGUGGCGAAGGCGGGUCUCUGGACAGUUCUGACACUGAGACACGAAGGCCAGGGGAGCAAACGGG